CUUUACUGUAACUUGAAAUUGAAAUUGGACUUUAUUUGCGCAGUAUAGGUGGGAGGCAUUGAGAAUCUUCUUGCGGGAGGAUUGGAGCCAUCAGUGAGAUACCACUCUUGUAAUGUUAGAUUUCUAACUUUGAAUCAUGAUCUGGUCAAAGAACAGUUUCAGGCGGGCAGUUUGACUGGGGCGGUCGCCUCCUAAACGGUAACGGAGGCGCACAAAGGUUUCCUCUGAACGGGUAGAAAUCGUAUCUAGAGUGUAAAGGCAUAAGGAAGCUUGACUGUGAGACCUACAAGUCGAGCAGGGACGAAAGUCGGUCUUAGUGAUCUGACGGUGCUGAGUGGAAAGGCCGUCACUCAACGGAUAAAAGUUA
rnacentral:rRNA from 1 species